rnacentral:tRNA from 1 species
GAAGUAGCUCAGUUGAUAGAGCAUUAGCCUUCCAAGCUGAGGGUCGCGGGUUUGAGCCCCGUCUUCCGCUCUCCA